UUCACUAAGCAAACUUGAAAUAGGAAGAAAAAAAAUUGGGUCUAAGUUUUGGGCCCAAGAUUCCAAAUAUAGUAUAUCAUGUUUUCACAAGUGUAUUGGAUCCAGGCAGUAAAGAGGUUAACCAAAUGAGACCAUCCACAAUGUCGAGCAGGGAAACAUGGUUUCAUGUUUCAAUGAUCCGUUUGUUCCCAGGUCUCUGUGUGGCAGUCCUUUUUGGAAUAUGGCUCUGAGCACUCUGCCUUGCUGACCCUUGACCCAGUAUUGGGAAUGAUGGGAUGGAGACAUUUUUCUAUUCAUAUUAAUGAAGCAGCUGUGAGAGUAUUGGGCAUUUUCAUCAACCCAAUUAUGCCAUGACUGAACCAGUUCAAUCAAGAACACAAAAUUCAACCAAGAGGAAUGCAAGAUCCUCGAGGGCAGGUGAAGAUGCAGAGAUGCCCAGAGAGAAAGUGAAUGUGUGGUCAUAGUCAUGCAAAGUAUGAAUAGCCCACUUGAGACCAUGACAAAGGUACCCUAUGUCCUUACCCAGUACUUUUGUAUUAUAUCACACUGAAUGGCAUUGUUUUAGCUAUAGCCCAUUUAGGUCAGCCUUGAUGA
rnacentral:lncRNA from 1 species